rnacentral:rRNA from 1 species
CCUUGCCAGCCCGCUCAGAACUUAAAGGAAUUGACGGGGGCCCGCACAAGCAGCGGAGCGUGUGGUUUAAUUCGAUGAUACGCGAAGAACCUCACCCAGGUUUGACAUGCACGUGGUACUGAUCCGAAAGGUGAUGGACCCUUCGGGGAGCGUGCACAGGUGUUGCAUGGCCGUCGUCAGCUCGUGUCGUGAGAUGUUCGGUUAAGUCCGCUAACGAGCGCAACCCUCGCUGUAUGUUACAUGUGUCAUACAGGACCGCCGGUAUCAAGCCGGAGGAAGGUGGGGAUGACGUCAAGUCCGCAUGGCCUUUAUGUCCGGGGCUACACACACGCUACAAUGGUCGGUACAAUGGGUUGCUAAGCCGCGAGGUGGAGCCAAUCCCCCAAAGCCGGCCUCAGUUCAGAUUGCAGGCUGCAACUCGCCUGCAUGAAGCUGGAGUUGCUAGUAACCGUCGCCGUCACGCUAUAGUAGUACGUUGAAUUACGUUCGUCCGGCCUU